rnacentral:rRNA from 1 species
UCCUACGGGAGGCAGCAGUGGGGGAUAUUGCACAAUGGGGGAAACCCUGAUGCAGCGACGCCGCGUGUGGGAAGACGGUCCUCUGGAUUGUAAACCACUGUCCCCAGGGACGAAGAUGACGGUACCUGGGGAGGAAGCUCCGGCUAACUACGUGCCAGCAGCUGCGGUAAUACGUAGGGAGCGAGCGUUGUCCGGAAUUACUGGGUGUAAAGGGAGCGUAGACGGAUGGAUAAGUCUGAAGUGAAAGCCCGCGGCUCAACUGCGGGACUGCUUUGGAAACUGUGCAUCUUGAGUACGGGAGGGGG